CAUCAAAGUGGCCGUUACACAGCGUGGAGGGGAGGCUUGUGAGCGACAGAGCGACGCUUGCCGAGCUGCGUGCAGUGUUCCUGUUAAGGCGAAAUGAGAGCAUCCACAGACUACAGUUAAUCCGGAAAAGGAGACGGCGUCUCCGUGCAAGAACAAUGUUGACAAACCGCAAGGAGGAGAGGGAGUUGGGCCGGAGGAAACAGCAUGGGACUAUGGAGCAUCCUUUCUAUUUCUUCCUCUACACUGAUCCCAUAACUACAGGUUCUGGAUCAAUGAUUAGUUUUUUCUAUCAGAGAAGGAGCUAUCAGAAGACAGAUUAGUUGUCCUGAAGGCUGCAACUAAUGGCUAGCCUGAGAAGGACUAAGACCAAAGUGGACAUCUUCCAUCGUAAACUCUUGUAGACUUUUGUUGUGAAUUCUUCCAUCCAAUGAUUUGUGUGACAUGCUUUUUGAUUCUUGACAUAGUUCUUAAUUCCUCAGUUUGCUUCAUGACCAGAAAAACUGUGAACACAAUAAUGGAUUUCAAUCCUGUAAAGACUCACAAUAAAAACACAAAGAUGCCGAUUAGAGAAGUUAAAUAGCAGAUGUUUA